AGAGUUUGAUCCUGGCUCAGAUUGAACGCUGGCGGUAUGCCUUACACAUGCAAGUCGAACGGUAGAGGGGCAACCCUUGAGAGUGGCGAACGGGUGAGUAAUACAUCGGAACGUGCCCAGUCGUGGGGGAUAACGUAGCGAAAGCUACGCUAAUACCGCAUACGACCUGAGGGUGAAAGCGGGGGAUCGCAAGACCUCGCGCGAUUGGAGCGGCCGAUGGCAGAUUAGGUAGUUGGUGGGGUAAAGGCCUACCAAGCCUGCGAUCUGUAGCUGGUCUGAGAGGACGACCAGCCACACUGGGACUGAGACACGGCCCAGACUCCUACGGGAGGCAGCAGUGGGGAAUUUUGGACAAUGGGCGAAAGCCUGAUCCAGCCAUACCGCGUGCGGGAAGAAGGCCUUCGGGUUGUAAACCGCUUUUGUCAGGGAAGAAAUCUUCUGGGCUAAUACCUCGGGAGGAUGACGGUACCUGAAGAAUAAGCACCGGCUAACUACGUGCCAGCAGCCGCGGUAAUACGUAGGGUGCAAGCGUUAAUCGGAAUUACUGGGCGUAAAGCGUGCGCAGGCGGUUCCAUAAGACAGAUGUGAAAUCCCCGGGCUCAACCUGGGAACUGCAUUUGUGACUGUGGAGCUAGAGUACGGUAGAGGGGGAUGGAAUUCCGCGUGUAGCAGUGAAAUGCGUAGAUAUGCGGAGGAACACCAAUGGCGAAGGCAAUCCCCUGGACCUGUACUGACGCUCAUGCACGAAAGCGUGGGGAGCAAACAGGAUUAGAUACCCCGGUAGU
rnacentral:rRNA from 1 species